GAUGAACGCUGGCGGCGUGCCUAAUACAUGCAAGUCGAGCGAACAGACGAGGAGCUUGCUCCUUUGACGUUAGCGGCGGACGGGUGAGUAACACGUGGGUAACCUAUCUAUAAGACUGGGAUAACUUCGGGAAACCGGAGCUACUACCGGAUAAUAUUUCGAACCGCAUGGUUCGAUAGUGAAAGAUGGCUUUGCUAUCACUUAUAGAUGGACCUGCGCCGUAUUAGCUAGUUGGUAAGGUAACGGCUUACCAAGGCAACGAUACGUAGCCGACCUGAGAGGGUGAUCGGCCACACUGGAACUGAGACACGGUCCAGACUCCUACGGGAGGCAGCAGUAGGGAAUCUUCCGCAAUGGGCGGAAGCCUGACGGAGCAACGCCGCGUGAGUGAUGAAGGUCUUCGGAUCGUAAAACUCUGUUAUUAGGGAAGAACAAACGUGUAAGUAACUGUGCACGUCGUGACGGUACCUAAUCAGAAAGCCACGGCUAACUACGUG
rnacentral:rRNA from 1 species